UUGAGCAAUCAUGUAUGAACUCAUUGAUCAUCAAGUCGUAGGUCCCAACCCAACACUACUUAUUAUUGCUGCCGGCCUUGUGAUAUUUAACAUAACUUAAAUUAGUAAAACGUGAAGAUGAUAUCAUCAUAAUUUGUGUGCUCCAUGAUAUACUCGUAUGAAGUGAGGUCAAACAUAAUCUAACAAUGCUAAAAGCACAAUAUACUCAAUGGAGAGGCUGCCACAUCAUUUAAUUAAAUCCACCAAUCAGAAACAAUUAUUUGAACAACUCAGAACAACUUUGUUUAGAGAAAAUGGGUUUUGGCGUAGUUUCCAAAAAAUAUUUUCACGGCCAUCGAGCCCGACAAUUCCAAAUUUAUGUUCAACUUCUCGAUUCUCUGUAAUCGACUCUUCCACUCUAUCUUCCAUUUAUGUAAGCCCCCUCCUAAUCAAUGAUGCUUUUUAUACCUUCUGGCUGGUUUCGUUCCAAUUUCCGUUCAUCCUCCUCUUAUAUAAAUGGCUUCGUCUAAACCUAAAUCCUAUCAAAAUCGAAACCUAGCAGUAAGAGCAACUGAAACCCCUAAUCGUAGAGCGCCUUUCUGAUCGAUGAGCAGGUAAGACAUUGACAUCCUCAUAUUUACUUUUAUUUACGACCAAAUUCCACUUACCCAUACAAUAUGAAAUCAACUUCCUGAUGUGCUAGAUUUCUGUUCGUUAAGAUUCAGUUCCACUGUCGUAACGAUUCAGUCCCUCUGAUUAAUUGUUGGUGUGAGUGUGAUUGUACCCUCUGAGAAAUAAUAUUAAACGAUGGAGAUAACUACAAUCUAUAGCGUGGAAUUGGAAGAGGAUACUUUUGGAGAAAUCUUAGGGCAUCAAGGAGCUGCCACUCGACUAAGAGAUGGGUCCACUGGGCUCACGUUAUUUACUUGGAAAGUAAUCUUUAUCUCUCCCUCUCUUGAGUUUUAGUUUGUCUCAUACUCCUGGUUUCUUUGUCCAGUUACGGACGAUUCAAAAAUUCACUGUGAGCUAAUCAUAUAGAGACUCAACACCGAAAGAUACACCUCUAAUUUGAUGUUGUUUUGUUUUAAUCCCCAGUCUUGAAUUUUGCACUACCUUUCCUUUUAAAAAUAAAUAUAUUCUUAGUUUAACUACAAGUGAAUUAAUAGAAUUACAAAGAUUAAGUGAUUGUGAAUAUAUGGCUAAUAUAUAUAAUGAUGUGUUUUCCUGUGAAACUGUAUGGUGUCACUUUGUCCCAAUGAUAGGAAAGAUUCAACGGCACUUUUCCACUUUUAUUUUCUAGGUCCCUGAAUCUACAAUCACACUUUGAUGAUCUAAUUAUCGUACUGCAAAAUUGAAUUAUUCUACCUUUGAUUUGGUUCGUAUAUGUUGUGUUAUGUUCCAUGGGUUUCUAUGCUUGAACGUGCAUUCUAUCAAUCAUAUUGACUUAUUUUCCUGUCUGAGAAUAUUUUUCUACAUUAUUUUUCUUAUGGAUUUGCUUCCUACUUCUUCAAAGAGGAGUAUAUUUUAAGUGGCUCACGAUAUCAAAAAAACUCCUUCGGGAAAUGUUACAGCUAUUGCCAAUGUUAAAUUUCAGCUAAUGAUUGGUACCCGGUUAAAGUAAGAGUGACUUUGUUUUCUUUCCUUCUCCAGAGUCUCACAAGGUUUGGGAUUUUAUUGGAUCUGAUCAUUAUUGCUGUGAGAAAUGGGUAUAGGGAGAUGAAAGUAUCAUCGAAGAUAUCAGAGGGCACAUGAAGGAGAAUAACAUAUUUGGAUUGAGAGUGAUGAUAUUUUAUUGGUAAUAUGGGACUUGCGGACAGACCAAAUUCAGCAUCAAGUCAACGUUCAUGAGAGAGAGAGCUGCGAUGCAGGCAUACAAAGCAGCUAAAAAAUAUUGACCAAGGUGAUGAAGUUGUUGAACCAGACAAGGUUUCCUAUGGACUAAUGAAAAAGGUAGAUGACUUCAAAAUUGCUUUGAAAGAAACUUGGGGUUGAUGGUCCCAGUAAAUUUGUGUACCAAAACUAACUCUUCAAGUGUACUUGAUGGUCUGAUAAUAAUAUCUCAAGAAAGAGAAUGACGAUGUGGAUGUCAAAUUUGGUAAAGGCUGGCUGCUUCUUUACAGGUAUAUAGAAAUAUUAGCCCUGUUCUUUUACCAUUUGCGGCGUGAGCGGUAGCGAUAGAGCAAAACGACGGUGACUGAAUUGAAUAAUAAAGCAAAACUACGUUGACUGAGCUAUUUAUUGCCGCUGGGUAACGAAGCGGCAGAUUUUUUGCAAACAGAGGUUCUCACUGAAAAUAUUAGCGUCCAUGAAAGACGUCACAGACAACACCUGCGAUCACUUCCAGCGAUUAUUUAUGUUUCCACCAUGCUACUUUUCUCUCAACUAAAGUUACUUUUUCUUGCUGCUGUCGCUGCCGCAGCUAUUCCUUAACGAGCGGGGCUAUUAUAUAUUGUACAAUCCUUCAGAUUCAAUCGUGUUUCAGUUAUGAACAAUACAGCAAAGUGAGUCUGCAUGUAUUAUUCUUUGGGCAUUUAUGUGUGACUCAUAAAAUGUAGUUGACACAUCAAAACAUUACUGUCAUGUUUGUUUCGCAGUUGUGUUGUUGUGUUAAUGUUGAUGGAAUAUGCAAACAAUAUUUUAUA